rnacentral:rRNA from 1 species
AUUGAACGCUGGCGGCAGGCCUAACACAUGCAAGUCGAACGAGUGGCGGACGGGUGAGUAAUGUCUGGGAAACUGCCUGAUGGAGGGGGAUAACUACUGGAAACGGUCGCUAAUACCGCAUACCCUCAGAUGUGCCCAGCUGGGAUUGGCGAGUUGGUGGGGUAACGGCUCACCAGGGCGACGAUCCCUAGCUGGUCUGGGGGGAUGACCGGCACACUGGGACCUGAGACACGGUCCAGACUCCUACGGAGGGCGGCAGUGGGGAAUAUCGCACAAUGGGCGAAGGCCGAAUGCAGCACUGCGGGGUGUAGAAAGAGGGCCUUCGGGUUGUAAAGUCCUUUAAGCGGGGAGGCGUUACCCGAAGAAAAAGCACCGGCUAACUCCGUGCCAGCAGCCGCGGUAAUUC